GAAGAGGUGCCUGAGCAAAGGAAUACAUUGAUACUGUACUAACGCGGUUUUCCGCUCUUUUCA
rnacentral:tRNA from 2 species